AUUUACGUUUUUAGUUCCGCUGAUUCGCGCGCUUACCCGAUAAUUCAGUGAGCACAUUCGCUGAAAACUAACCGAAAUCUACGAAUUAAAACGGUACCCCUCCGCGUUCCGUGAGGCUGAGGAGCGCGAAAGGGAGUGGGAUCCCUCUUCGGCUUCACAACGAAGAAGGCGGAGUGGGCGGCACGGGCGCGAAGCUCCUGUUCAUCUCCCGUAGGGGCUGUCGGGUGCCGGGUGCGGGGGUGCCCGGUACUCGGCUGUUGGUCCGGUGGUGAGGCGGCGCAAGGUGGCUCCUGUGCACCGCUCACGGUGUGUCUCCGAGACGACGUCCUGCGGGAUUUUCCCGGGGAUGGAGUGCCGUCCUAUUAACAGGAUGGGUACCGGCGACGGCGAGCCUUCGGCGCGCACUGUGCGGUACCGUGGGUUUCGUGGAGUCGGAGUGGUGGGGCUCGAUGGGGUUUAGUCGGUAGUCGUUCUGCGGGGCAAGUGCUUCGCGCGCCUUUUUCAAGGCGUAGUCUCCUGUGAGAAAUUGGGGGAGGUGAAGGACCUCGGCUCUUCUCUUCUCCCCUUCUUUCUCUCAGGAGGCGCCGGAGUCCGACAUAACCCAGUCCGUUACCCCCCUUGACCGGGUAUCCGUAAAUGGAUUCCCCAGCGUUAAAAAAAAAAAAAAAAAAGGGUACCCCUCCGCAUCGUCCCAUAAGGAACUUCGUUCAAAAAAAAAAACCUUAUUCAUGUGUGUUAUGAAGAUUUUUCUAUCGUUUCGAUUUAUUAUGUGUGUUAAACAAGUUUAUUUGACAUGAUGUGCACGUAGUUUCGUCUUUUCGACAUCCAAAAUUAGGUCCGCCAGUGUAUCCCUCACAAACAAAGUAAGAGAGAUGUUAAUUUAAUGUACGACAGUGUCACUCGAAGCGGCCCACAGUGCCGACUUUCAAAGGACCAGGUCAGCCACGGAUUCUCUAUUAUGUAAAUUUUCGCGCAAUUUUCUCGUUGGGAGUGCGCCGGUCCGACUUUGUAACAAGAGCGGCCUCUCAUUAAUACUUACCUGAGUUCAUCAAUUUUCGAAGGACAUCACAAUUUUUUUCAUUGAAAUAAUACUAUGGCUUUUUUGCGUUUUUACAAUCAUUUUCUUAGCUAAACAUAAGCCGAUAGUAAUAAUUGCAGAAGAAUGUAAAUUUUCAGUGAUGACGAAAAUAGCAAAAUACGGAAGCGAAAUGUUUUGGAAUUUAUUUGUUUGCCUUACGUGUAAAAUUAGCACAAGAUUGAGCUGUCAUACUAUUUUUAGAUGUGUUUAUGACAACGUUUGACAACGUAAUCGAAUACAGUUUGUUGGAAGUAAGCAACAGUAGAUUGGAAAUGUUGAAAGUAAUCGGAAAAUAAAAUAUUAUUGAGAGUUUAUUUA